rnacentral:rRNA from 1 species
GACGAACGCUGGCGGCGUGCCUAAUACAUGCAAGUUGAGCGCUGAAGGUUGGUACUUGUACCAACUGGAUGAGCAGCGAACGGGUGAGUAACGCGUGGGGAAUCUGCCUUUGAGCGGGGGACAACAUUUGGAAACGAAUGCUAAUACCGCAUAAAAACUUUAAACACAAGUUUUAAGUUUGAAAGAUGCAAUUGCAUCACUCAAAGAUGAUCCCGCGUUGUAUUAGCUAGUUGGUGAGGUAAAGGCUCACCAAGGCGAUGAUACAUAGCCGACCUGAGAGGGUGAUCGGCCACAUUGGGACUGAGACACGGCCCAAACUCCUACGGGAGGCAGCAGUAGGGGAUCUUCGGCAAUGGACGAAAGUCUGACCGAGCAACGCCGCGUGAGUGAAGAAGGUUUUCGGAUCGUAAAACUCGGUUGGUAGAGAAGAACGUUGGUGAGAGUGGAAAGCUCAUCAAGUGACGGUAACUACCCAGAAAGGGACGGCUAACUACGUG